rnacentral:rRNA from 1 species
AGCGAACAUUGGCGGUAGGCUUAACACAUGCAAGUCGAGCGAGGCGUAAUAGUCGAGCGGCGAACGGGUGAGUAAUACAUGGAAAUCUACCCUGAAGUGGGGGAUAACGUCCAGAAAUGGACGCUAAUACCGCAUAAUCCAUAUUGGGAAAGGGUUGCAGCGCUUUAGGAUGAGUCCAUGGCUGAUUAGCUUGUUGGUGAGGUAACGGCUCACCAAGGCGACGAUCAGUAGCUGGUCUGAGAGGAUGACCAGCCACACUGGAACUGAGACACGGUCCAGACUCCUACGGGAGGCAGCAGUGGGGAAUCUUGCGCAAUGGGGGCAACCCUGACGCAGCCAUACCGCGUGAGUGAUGAAGGUCUUCGGAUUGUAAAGCUCUUUCGGCGGGGACGACGAUGACGGUACCCGCAAAAGAAGUCACGGCUAACUUCGUGCCAGCCGCCGCGGUAA